rnacentral:rRNA from 1 species
UACAGGGGGUGCAAACGUUGCUCGGAAUCAUUGGGCGUAAAGCGCACGUAGGCGGUUCGUUAUGUCGGAUGUGAAAGCCCUUGGCUUAACCGAGGAAGUGCAUCCGAAACUGGCGAGCUAGAGUACUAAAGAGGAUCGCGGAAUUCCCGGUGUAGAGGUGAAAUUCGUAGAUAUCGGGAGGAACACCGGUGGCGAAGGCGGCGAUCUGGGUAGAUACUGACGCUGAGGUGCGAAAGUGUGGGGAGCAAACAGG